CCCUUAGAUGUCCUGGGCCGCACGCGUGCUACACUGACACUUACACCGAGUUUUUCCAAUGCCGAAAGGCCAUUGGUAAUCAGCAAUAAGUGUCGUGAUGGGGAUAGAUCUUUGGAAUUAUUGAUCUUGAACGAGGAAUGCCUAGUAAUCGUAGGUCAUCAGCCUGCGAUGAUUACGUCCCUGCCCUUUGUACACACCGCCCGUCGCUCCUACCGAUUUCGAGUGGUUCGGUGAACCUUUCGGACCGGCAAUGCCUCGUGUUGCGCCGGAAAGUCAAGUAAACCAUNUNACUUAGNGGAAGGAGAANUCGUANCA
rnacentral:rRNA from 1 species